rfam:Dipodomys ordii contig_8272, whole genome shotgun sequence.
UGGCUCAGUGGUAGAGUGCUUGCCUUGCAUGCAUGAGGCCUUGGGUUCAAUUCCUCA